rfam:Flavobacteria bacterium BAL38 1101699887722, whole genome shotgun sequence.
UGCAACAUACAAUUAAGAAAAUGAUUUCAAUUUUAAACAAUACUUGGUGGUGGUCUAACUUACGUCGAACUUCGUGAGCGAAUCCUGCUAUAGUAUCAUUUAAAACCAAAUACAUAGAAAAGGCUUGUC